UGGCUGCAGUCGAGGAUCUUCGGCAAUGGGCGAAAGCCUGACCGAGCGACGCCGCGUGGACGAUGAAGGCCUUCGGGUUGUAAAGUCCUGUCGAGGGGGAUCAAGGGCAACUUGAGUGAUCCCUGGAGGAAGCACGGGCUAAGUUCGUGCCAGCAGCCGCGGUAAGACGAACCGUGCAAACGUUAUUCGGAAUCACUGGGCAUAAAGGGCGCGUAGGCGGCUCAACAAGUCAGGGGUGAAAUCCGGCAGCUCAACUGUCGCAGUGCCUUUGAUACUGUCGAGCUCGAGGGAGGUAGGGGUCUGUGGAACUUCCGGUGGAGCGGUGAAAUGCGUUGAUAUCGGAAGGAACGCCGGUGGCGAAAGCGACAGACUGGACCUUUUCUGACGCUGAGGCGCGAAAGCCAGGGGAGCAAACGGGAUUAGAUACCCCGGUAGUCCUGGCCCUAAACGAUGGGUACUAGAUUGCGGACUUACAUGGGUUCGCAGUCGAAGCUAAUGUAUUAAGUACCCCGCCUGGGGAGUAUGGUCGCAAGGCUGAAACUCAAAGGAAUUGACGGGGGCUCACACAA
rnacentral:rRNA from 1 species